GGAGGGAAGCCCUUGCAGAGGCGGGAGGUGGGACCAGCACACAGAACCAGGAGGGCUGAUGUCUCACCCAGAAGAACAGCGGAAAGUCAUACAUGCAGCAGCACACAGGCUCUCAGGGGAGCAAUUGUGCUGGUCUGGGAGAGGAGCAUCUGAACGGUUUCUUCUGGUGGCUUCAUUUUCCCAGGGAAAAAUGAAGCAAGAUGAGAGGACACUGGGGACCAGAGUGGAGGUCGUAGUCUAGAUCUUAUGUUUACCUCUUCACAUUUUUUUCCUGUGGGAGAAAGGAUCACCACAGCUUCCUGCACAAAGCAGUUGCUGUUUGCAAAAGCCCCUUAGAACUUUUCCUGUUGCCUGAAAUUUGUCAUUCACCAUCUCAUCAAAAACGAUCCAAUUUCCAUCAUUGCACUAUUUGAAAAGAUCCUUUUAUACAAUGAAGAGGCCAGCCUGGUGGAAUCUAAUCCUAGUUUAUAACUAGCCACAGUAUGUAGAGAUUGGAAGACACUGUGAAUUGUAAAGGAAUUUAACAUGUAUUGAUCAACUGCCUGAGGCUACUAAAUUAGAUAGGAAGGAAGAAAGCUAACCUUUUUGAAGACCUACUUUAUAUGCUGGGUACCUUAUAUACUUUUUAUUUAAUAUUAUUCCAUGAAGUUUAAUUAAUAACAUUCUACAAAUGAGGAAACUGAAGCAACAGAAGCCAUCAGGAUAAACAGCUUGUCCUAACCUCAGUGAAAGAGAAGGGAUGGGGCUACACUCCGAACCGUGUCUGACUGUGAAGGCUACUCCUAUUUCAUUGCACUACAGUGUCCCCCAAUAUAAUACAGAAAACUCGAGUGAUUAUUGCUCAUGCUAUGGAAUACAAGAUUCAAGUUUAAAGUGAUCUUGGUCAGUUGUAAAGAGGAGAGCCUAACAAAAUAAUGGAAAAGAAAAGUGCAGAACAACGCAAUAAAGAACUAGUAAUUCUGAAAGAAAAACAAGAGGACAAAGGACUUCCUGGCCAAAGUGCAGAAAAGAAAGAUCUGGUAAUAUGAUCAAUACAAUUCUGAAAUGUACUAGAGUAAUGGCAUGCACAUAAUCCUGAAGCAUGAUAUACUAGUCAUCAUGUGGAUGAUGAAAAGGAAUCAGAGCAAACAAACAUAAAUGAUUGACAAGGCAGAAAAGAAGGACCACAAAGGAGAAAAGGUACCUGCCACUGGAGCUUCCCAAGAGUAAGGAUCCUUUCUAAACAUAAAAGAAAAUAAUAAUAAAUAAAAUAAAAAUAAAAAUGAAAACCAAAGAAAGGAUCCUUUCUUAUCACCUUUGCUGUUUAGUGAUUAACAGUCUCUUUAACACGGUGGGCACUUGACAAGCCUUCACUGAAUGGAUAUUGUAAAAGAUGCAGGAAGUAUUUGUAAAGACAACAAUAGCCAUGAGAGGUAUGUGUACAGAUGGAGAAAAAUAUUUUUGAACAUAUAAACUUAAAAGCAGGAGUUCAAGUUCUUAAAGAGAAAUGCUGAGAGAGGCUUUCCCCUGUCUAUGCACAAUGUAGUCAGUCAGUAUUCAAUAAAAGAGCAAGUAAAUGAAUUUUGGUUGUAUUCAGUUCAUAAAACGGGAAUAAAUUACAAAGGAGGUUUAUUCUGCCCUUGGGUUAAAGAAGAGUCACCUGGCACGAGACAGGUUAGUUAUUACUGUCCUUCCCAAUCUCUGACAAGUCUAAAAAUGCUUUAUUUUUCUUUUCUUCAUCUUUUCUUCAUUCUCACUGCCAUGACCCUGGUCUAUUUCUCUUCUGGACUUUUAUACCUGACUCAAAGUAGGCACCUUAGCUAGUGUCUUUGACAUACUGCAGCCAUAUUGAUCAUCCAAUCAAGUCACUCUUUCAUUAAAAAAAACAAAACCCAAGAGCUUCUAAAUGAUAAUUUCAAAAGGCCUUCCGUGAGAUAACUCCAACUGCCUUUCCUAAUAUUAUACCACUCUUCUUUCUGAAAUACACCAAAUGGAAAUGCCCAAUUUCCCCAUACCCUCAAUAUUUCCCUUCUCAAGGCCUUUGUUCCUGCUGCGUAGGAGCUUUCCCUACUCAAUUUGAGUAGGUUCAAAUCAUUCUACCCAUCUUCAAAGGCUACACAUCCCAAAUACUGCUCCUAAUUGCUUUGCAGAAAAGUAUUCUCUCUCCUCCUGAACUUCUAGGGCACCUUGCUUCACCCUUCUUGCACAGAACUUACUAUUUUCAACCUUGAAUUCAGUUAUUUAGGUAAAUCCUUUAUGUCAUAUACUAAACAUAAAUUCCUUAAAAUUAGUCUUACUCAACUUUGUGGCUCUCACAUGACAUGGCUCAUAUCUUUUCAUGUGUCCACAGUACAUGUGACAGCAUGUUUGCUGAAUCAAAGAUCUCUCAGGAUGAAGCUCACUUUUUUCCUGUCUUUCUCAUUUGUACUCUUUUUUUCUAUUUAAAAUCCUUAGACAUUGGGCAAUGGGUAUGAUGGGAAACAAAAAGGAGGAAGAAGUAGAAGUGAAAAAUAAAGAAAGACAACAAGAAAUAUUUCAUGGUCUCUCCUCCACAGAUUUCCAAUAUUUAUAGACGGUUUAUUAAGAAAGGCCUCCGUGGCUGCCUUUGGAUAAUCUUACAUGAGCAAAAAGACAACAUGCUAAGAAAGAAGGAAGAUGUCUGAACAUGAGCUUCACUGACGAUGCCAAGAGAUGGCCAAUGCAGAAAAGAUGGAUUUUUCUUAGUAUGGUGAUGACUGAUGAAAGUCUACUGUGGUUUGAAUGUCUUCUCCAAAAUUCAUGUUGCAAAUUUAGUUGCCAUUGUAAUAGUCAGCAUUAAGAGGUGGAGCCCUUAAGAGGUGACUAAAUCGUGAGGUCAGAGUUCUCAUGAGUGGAUUACUGUUGUUAUUGUGGGAGUGGGUUUCUGAUUGAGUUUGGUCUAAUUUCUGCUCUGUCUUAUGUGCUUGCUCUGCCUUCUGUCAUGAGACGACCCUACCAAAUACCAGCACAAUGCUCUUGGACUUCCUGGUCUCCAGAACCAUGAGUCAAAUAAACUUUUAUUGUUUAUAAAUGACCCAAUUUGUGGUAUUCUGUUAUAGCAGCAGGAAAGAGACUAAGACAAAAUCCUUACCAGAAAAUUUGCUGGCCAAAGUUUCAGCAAUGAUAAAAAGAGACUAACAGAAAUUCAGAGCAUGGAAAGAAAUACGAGUGGCAAAAUGUAUUUUCAGCACUCAAAGCUGUGAAAUACAUAUCCAUCAAUGAGUAGAAAGCUAACUGGGUACAUA